AGCAGCCGCGGUAAUUCCAGCUCCAAUAGCGUAUAUUAAAGUUGUUGCAGUUAAAAGCUCGUAGUUGAAUUUCGGGGUCUGUCCGUCGGUCGGGCUUCACAGUCCGUACUGGUGUGAUGGGUUCCUACCUUCUGAAUAACCGGCAUGCCAUUCAGUUGGUGCGCCGGGGAAGCAGAGCUAUUACCUUGAAAAAUUAGAGUGCUUAAAGCAGGCUAGUGCUUGAAUAGAUUAGCAUGGAAUAAUAAAAUAGGACGGCAUGGUUCUAUUUUGUUGGUUUCUAGGAUCACCGUAAUGAUUAAUAGGGAUAGUUGGGGGCAUUAGUAUUCAAUUGUCAGAGGUGAAAUUCUUGGAUUUAUUGAAGACUAACUUCUGCGAAAGCAUUUGCCAAGGAUGUUUUCAUUAAUCAAGAACGAAAGUUAGGGGAUCGAAGACGAUCAGAUACCGUCGUAGUCUUAACCAUAAACUAUGCCGACUAGGGAUCGGACGAUGUUAAUUUUUUAAUGACUCGUUCGGCGCCUUA
rnacentral:misc_RNA from 2 species